AUGUUGCAACAACAUUUGGUAUCAGAGCUUUGUGUCUUGGGCGUGCGUGCCGUGCCGGAGGCGUGGCAGCGAUGGCAGCGCUCGCCGGCGGCUGCGCGAUGGAGCUCCGGGCCGUGUGUCGGCCUCUGGAGGAGGGCGGUGCUGCAGCUGUCAUGGCGCGUGGCGGAGGCGGCGGGCGGUAACGUCGUACGUGCGGCGACCGUGGAGGCCGCCGAGGCACUGCAUGGUGGCUGCGGCGGCACGGUCAGGAGGCCGUGGAGGACCUGCGUGGUGGCGGCUUCAACGACGAUGACGACACAGGGAGCGUGUCGCGGCGGCUCGGCGCGACAACGGUGGAGGCGCGUGGCACAGAGCUGCGGCGCUCGUUUCGGAUGCGUCAGGCGCGUGUAUGGGCGCGCGCCGGGCGUGUCAGGCGCGGCGGGACCGUGGUGUAGGGUGGCCGUUGGCGAGCGGGGGUGUGCGCGUUGA
rnacentral:rRNA from 1 species